AUUGAACGCUGGCGGCAGGCCUAACACAUGCAAGUCGAGCGGAGCGGCGGACGGGUGAGUAAUGCCUAGUAAUCUGACUGGUAGUGGGGGAUAACGUCCGGAAGCGGGCGCUAAUACCGCAUACUAUCAGAUGAGCCUAGGUCGGAUUAGCUAGGUGGUGGGGUAAAGGCCUACCAAGGUGACGAUCCGUAACUGGUCUGAGAGGAUGAUCAGUCACACUGGAACUGAGACACGGUCCAGACUCCUACGGGAGGCAGCAGUGGUGAAUAUUGGACAAUGGGCGAAAGCCUGAUCCAGCCAUGCCGCGUGUAUGAAGAAGGUCUGCGGGUUGUAAAGUACUUUCAGCGGGGAGGCGUUACCCGCAGAAGAAGCACCGGCUAACUCCGUGCCAGCCGCCGCGGUAAUAC
rnacentral:rRNA from 1 species